AUGGAUAUUAAGAGUAAAAAACGCCCGGGUGGCGCUGAGAAGCAUCGGGAAAAAAAGCUGAAGUGUCUGGAGGUGGAGGCUGCUAAAUGUGGCAAACUGACGGACCUGUUUGGUGCCGGGUUCACCAGCCCAGCAGCAGCAGGUGCGCCGGGAGACGAGCGAGGAGGACUCGACAAUGAUGAGCGAGUGGAGGCAGACAUGGUUGUUGUGAUAUAUUUGAGGAGUCGUUCUCCCUCUGUUUUAUAUGUGGACAUUUGGGACCACUGUUAGAAUUUGGUUGACCACUUGACAUGUGAGCGCCUGAGGAGUUGUUCCCCCUCUGUCCAUGUUCGAGGACUUGCUCUCUGUCUGCCUCCACUCUCUGCCUUCACUGUACCAAACUUUGUCUGUUGAGUCUCCUCUAGUCUGGUUGACCACUUGACAUGUGAGAGCCUGAGGAGUUGUUUUCCAGACACAGGUAGAGCUGGCAGGGGCGUCACCCUGGGCCUGCCCUUUUGGGCUGGGCUUCAGCUGCAGAUCUAAAGGCUGCUUCCAGGGGCAUGGGGCCCUCAGCCUUUGUUUUUCUUUGCUUCUGCACCUUACAACAUACAUCACACCUUAUUUUCACACAUCCAAACACUGUUAACACCACUGACGCGUAACAUAUUUUACACAUCCCACUACGUAGUUAGAGCUAUCUUGAUUUGGAGUUAAAUAAAUUUACUUUUGGCUUGA